rnacentral:rRNA from 1 species
UUCCGGUUGAUCCUGCCAGACCUGACUGCUAUCGGAUUGAUACUAAGCCAUGCGAGUCAUUGUAGCAAUACAAGGCAUACGGCUCAGUAACGCGUAGUCAACCUAACCUAUGGACGGGAAUAACCUCGGGAAACUGAGAAUAAUGCCCGAUAGAACAUUAUACCUGGAAUGGUUUAUGUUCCAAAUGAUUUAUCGCCGUAGGAUGGGACUGCGGCCUAUCAGUUUGUUGGUGAGGUAAUGGCCCACCAAGACUAUUACAGGUACGGGCUCUGAGAGGAGUAGCCCGGAGAUGGGUACUGAGACACGGACCCAGGCCCUAUGGGGCGCAGCAGGCGAGAAAACUUUGCAAUGUGCGAAAGCACGACAAGGUUAAUCCGAGUGAUUUCUGCUAAAGAAAUCUUUUGUUAGUCCUAGAAACACUAACGAAUAAGGGGUGGGCAAGUUCUGGUGUCAGCCGCCGCGGUAAAACCAGCACCUCAAGUGGUCAGGAUGAUUAUUGGGCCUAAAGCAUCCGUAGCCGGCUCUGUAAGUUUUCGGUUAAAUCUGUACGCUCAACGUACAGGCUGCCGGGAAUACUGCAUAGCUAGGGAGUGGGAGAAGUAGACGGUACUCGGUAGGAAGUGGUAAAAUGCUUUGAUCUAUCGAUGACCACCUGUGGCGAAGGCGGUCUACUAGAACACGUCCGACGGUGAGGGAUGAAAGCUGGGGGAGCAAACCGGAUUAGAUACCCGGGUAGUCCCAGCUGUAAACUAUGCAAACUCAGUGAUGCAUUGGCUUGUGGCCAAUGCAGUGCUGCAGGGAAGCCGUUAAGUUUGCCGCCUGGGAAGUACGUACGCAAGUAUGAAACUUAAAGGAAUUGGCGGGGGAGCACCACAAGGGGUGAAGCCUGCGGUUCAAUUGGAUUCAACGCCGGGG